UUCCGUAAACAACACAAAUUUGAUGUCUUCUCUUAUUAGUUUUCAAGCUGCCAACACAGCAGAAAGGUGUAAGAUUAAGCAAACUACGUCAACAUUAUUUCUUCCGAGUAUUGCGGCAAAAACAAAUUGCUUUCAGUAUCACUUGUUGAAUGCAAGUAUUCCAACAUGCUGUGCAAGUAUAAAAUGCUUAUAGUAAUUCAACCGGUUUUCUCACCAAAAGGGUAAUUUUUAAUAUGUAGAGGACGGCAGUCGUUUUUAAUCAACGAUGAAAUAAAUAUGAACGUACAUACGCCUGACUCUCCAUGGUAGUAGGAAAACUAAUAAA